rnacentral:tRNA from 1 species
UGGCUCAGUGGUAGAGUACUUGCCUUGCAUGCAUGAGGCCUUGGGUUCGAUUCCUCA